GCUGGUUUUACGCAUAUACAAUUUAUCGUGUAGAGAUUUGUUUUCGAGCGUGCGCGCGCCAUGUUUGGCGAAAAAAUUUAUUUUCAGUUUACAAUUUUCUUGCGAGAACGCCUUGGCGAAAUCAAUAGCAGUUCAGCGGCUCCUGCUACCGUGGAUAAAGGUUCCGGUGAAGUGUGGAUGACCGGGAAGAUGCCAUCGAAAGGUCCAAUUGCUUGUCCCGAUCUGCCUGGUAGCUACCCCAGCGCAGCUCAUCAGCUAGUCAACGAAAAGAAUUGCGAAAACACCGGUGGAGCUGAUAUAAAGGGCUGUUCCGCGGGUUCGUCAACAGUGGACCUUCCAAGACGGCUCACUUACCUCCGGUAACAGGAGCUUGGAAAACGGGUAUGACCCCACGUCGUUCCACGGCUUACAACGUCAGACCGGCAUCACGCAUACCGCAGAAAACCAGCAUGAAUGAUUCGCUUCCAGCAACGAUGGAAAAAAUAAAAUCCUGGAAAUAAAUCGAGAAUGGAUGGAAACCUAGACGGAACUCAUUUGCGACUAUUUGGGAAUGAUGACGGAUUUUCCGCAAGAAUUUUCUGGCAAGCGCUGUUUGAAGGUCACAUGACCAUCAAUCAAUCAAUCAUCACCACAAACCAGCUGCAUUAACAGGUGGAACAGCAUUAUGAAAAAUCAACAACCCUGGGCAGUAACGGUAAUGACCGCGACGGACCAUAAGUUCCUUUAUAAAACAGUAUCAUCGGCAAUGAAUGCCGCUAGAGAUUUGACGAGAUAAUUUUUCUUGAAAAGAUUAGCCUGGAAAACUACCUUCAAUCUCAUCGCUAACCUCUGACAUGUAGCCUUAACGGGCGCUGUGAACAACCAAGUAGAGUAAGCUGCCUGGCCAGAUUCCAACCAUGGUCCGGUGUGGAAUAUCAAUAACGACCAGAGACAAUUAUGGUUAACAUUAAAUGGGAAACCCUCGAUCAAGUUCCGGGUAGCAACGCUACAGGUUUCAAUGCUUAUUCGUUCCCGAAGAAUCCCUUGGGUGAUCGAGCAGAGUACGGGCUAUUGAAAGCCCUAGCAACUCCUUCGAACAUCAAACUACGAGCAUGGUGUCUCGGCUUGCAAUGUCUGAUCCUUGCCUGCCAACAGCAUUUUGAAGCGGACUAUAUGGAUGCCAAUUCCACUCAAACGGAUCAUCACUCCCGAAAGAUGAGCCAUCUGAUAGUGAAUGACGACAAUUUUGAAAAAAGCUGUUACGCUUUUUUCAGGAGCUGAUCAGUCGAUCUCUUCUCUGAAUAGUAUCAGAUAUACUUGGCAAACUGUUACCUGUUACCUCCAUAUUGGUUCAUACAAAUCCUCAUUAGAAGCCGCUACUGUCUAUGACAAUUCAGCAUCAUUCAACGAUCUGACACAUCGAAUGAAAAUCAAACGAUUGAAAUAUCGGAACAAAAGGUUAUGGAACGAAGACCAAAGACUCCGUGCUUUGAAGAUACUGUGUUGCAAUAUAGUCCUACAAUAAUUCGACUGUUCCUAGGCUCAGUGCUCCAAUUAGUUUUUUCAGUCUAUCCAACAUUAAGUUCAAAAUGAGUUCAUUGUCCAGCACUGGCACGUAAUGUAAAAAUCUUAUAGAAAUCUAACCGAACGACCAGACGAUGUACUGAUAAAAGUACCCAUUGCUUUGCAAUAGUCUAACUCGAAAUCCUGCUUGGAGUUAUCUUUUUUAUUCAAAUUAAUCACACGUAGACUUGAGCAUCACUCUUCCCAUAGCAGUAGCAAUUGAAAUCACUCGGGACAGGGAUCUAGGUCCGAUUCCGAUAACACAACUUAUUUGUAUCGUCGGAAUGACUUUCAUUCGAUACAAAUACGGUUGGCUUCGGAUCUUAAUUUGAAAUCUGCAUUCUGGGUUUUAAUUCAAACCGGUGCUGAAUUUAAGUAACAACCAUUGUAAUUCAAACAAUUCGCAUUCAACAAUUAUAAAUUAAAAUAAAAU